UUCUGCAGUAAACACCUCUAAAUGUAAAAAUGAUGGGAUUCAACCGGACAGAGGUAAACAGAGAAAGUAACUUUGACACUCUUAAGGUAACCAAAUGCCUUAUCAUCUAAUUCAUGAACACGAAU
rnacentral:ncRNA from 1 species